rnacentral:rRNA from 1 species
GACGAACCGUGCGAACGUUAUUCGGAAUCACUGGGCUUAAAGCGCGUGUAGGCGGGCCGCCGCGUCGGCUGCUGAAAUCCCCCCGGCUCAACCGGGGAACGGGCACCGAUACGGGCGGCCUCGAGGGGGGGUAGGGGGGACUGGAACUUCCGGUGGAGCGGUGAAAUGCGUUGAGAUCGGAAGGAACGCCCGUGGCGAAAGCGAGUCCCUGGACCCUUUCUGACGCUGAGACGCGAAAAGCCAGGGGAGCGAACGGG